ensembl:lncRNA
GAAGCAUCGCCAAAUAUGUUUCCAAACCAACUUCCUUCCAAGCCAAAGACAGGAAAAUAUGGUGAAGCAUAUCUUCCCUUUGCUUCACCUGCACAAGUGCCGAGGAGGAACAAGAUGACCCCUGCCCUCUACAGAAUGAUAAUUUUCAUUUCUGUCAAAUGACGUGGCAUCCUUUCUUUCCCGACCCAGUUCAUAUCCAGCAUGUCCCACCAGAUCACCUCCUGCAUCCAGUUACUGGAUACAGAUUUCAUUCGCACAGGCCAGCUGAGGCUUUCAGCGGGUCAUAAAACACACGUGGUCCAACAGUAGUCACAUCUUUCCUCUAAAACCGUUUUGGAUGAGGCUUCUUUGACAGUAGAUGGAUCAACUACAGAGACAGUUGCAGGUCCCAGGUUCAGUUUCAGAUCUUGUGCUCAGGUACAAGGACUGGAAUGAAAAUGAUUGAAAAAG